ACCACCACCACCACCACCACCAUUCCCUUGCCCGCCACCACCAUUCUCUUCUGGUUGCGUGGUCUUGCCCUUCCUGCACCUUCCACAUGCUCUUCAUGGCCGCCGCCUGGCCCGCCUCAGGAAACUUGCACCAUCACGCGACAUGUUGUGGAUCCAUUCGAGGGGUAGACGGAGCAGGGCGACGGUUCUUGCCGGCGCCAAGGAGGGCAAACAGGAGAGCGUCCCGGAGACAUAUAAUUCUGUCGAUGCUGCCGCAUCUGAGAGCGGCAAGAACCAUGAUCUUGAGGUAAUUGAUUGAUGGUGGUCGAGAGCGGCAGUUGGCCCAAAGGAAUUUUUCACGUUCUUCUUGGUUCUUUGGCGCAGGAACCUUCGCCUAAGUCGGACGAGGUCGCGGCGGUGUCUCGCAACACGACAUUCAUCGCCGCGGGAGUUUACGAUGGCGCCGGCUCUGAGCCUGUUCUUGGCGCAUCGCCGUCCUCGGUGUCGUCGCCCGCGGUGGUCACUCAUGAAGACCAUCUGGAGAGAAGCAGCACAAGGUGAGUUACUUAGCAUACAACGUGUGAUGCAUUUUUUCUGGUUUAUAGGUGUGUGUGCGUUCUGCUCUGAUGGUAUUUUUUUGAGUUGUUUCUGUUCUUCAGUGAUGGUUAGCGAUAUGGUUCGGGAUUCCGAAAAUAGUUGCAUACCGGGCCUGGCAAAUGAAAUUUGGGGGUCACACGCGGCCUUGGAAUCCUUUAUCUGCACUUCGUUUUUGUUCGACACAGCCCUGAACAUAUCACUGUUAUGUCUCCUUGUGCCUGGUGAUUUAUGUAUAACUGAAAUUCUGAAUGAACUCAAGUUGUCAUAUGGGAGUGCUUGCAAUAUUCACAGGUUGCAGUUUCUUCAAUGCUAAAUGUUUAGUUUCCUCGGACACCAGAUUGCCUACACUUUAAUGAAGUCGAGCCAGCAACCGUCGCCCAUCUACUACUCCUAUAAAAGCACGAGAGGGCGGAGAACCAAAUUGUCUCAUCCAUCGAACCAUAUGAUCUGAUGGUCUAAAUCACACCAACAUAUCAAACGCAUUUUACACUUUAAUUACCCACCCUGCCACUCCUAAACUACUCUGCCUUUUCUGAGAAAAACUGCUUAGACCGAUUCCACGCACAUCUCAAUUGCGUUUAACACCGAGUUUCAAAAAAUGCGUUUAGCACAGAACUUAUCCCACUCCACGUAUCACCUCCUUCUCCCACGUUCGCACACACAGGAGCGCUCCAUCCCCAACCUCCCUCCUAUCCCGCUCGGCACCUCACCUCCCCGUCCCCGCAUCCCCGACGCCGAGCCGCACUCCCCGGCGCCCGCAUCGCCGCCCCUCGCAUGCCACCCGCCCCGCACGCCGCCCCUUGCUCCUGGCCCUGACUGGCCCGCCCGCAACUCGCGGCUACCCUCCUUGCCACCCCUCGCUUUUUGCCCUGUCACCUCUCUCUCUUGCAGCCCGUUUGUCCCGCCUGCACAACCCACCAUGCCCGUAGGAGCCUCUCCACGAAGUCGACCCUCAGCCCGCGUCAUCGACGCGAAAUCUCCCACGCCCAUUGCUCGCACUAGACCAAGACGAGGAUGAAGUCCAUAAGUGGCUGGCGUAAGGAGAGUAACAAGUGUGUUUAUCACGGACCCGAUGGGCAAGCAACUGACUCUAUCUCUCAAGCAAUUUAUUCAUAUGUGUGAUUGGAGUGGCGGUAACCAUUUGUUCUCCGGCACUACUAUCUGACAAGUACUCAAUAUUAUACUAAUCGUUAUUGCUAUAGAAGUGUUCAUCCAUGAAUAAUGAGACUCCACAUGGUCCUGGAACGGCUCUCAUACAUGGGGUUCGGGCUACUUCCACCAGUGCUCUACGGGUUGUCGUUCCACGAGAGCAACAAAAGGAGACCAACAUGGUGGACAACAUCGGUCCUUCGCUUGCCUGAUCUCUCUUCUAGCGCUCGGAAAGGUGCAUGUCCACAUAAGAUCCAUGCCAUACUUCAAGACCCUCAGUACUACCUGACCAUUGUUGUGAUCUUGUUUGGGAUGUCGUAUAUCGUUGGCGUGCUGAUCACUUUGGUGCCAUCGAGCAAGGUGGUGCAUCAGCUCUUCAUGCUUCUCCAGGUCAGUUGUUGUCUCAUUUAGGUGGCGCACAGACGUCUGUCUCGGCCUUGUUCUGAAGUCUUAAGUUCCUCGGAGCACUGAUGGUAUAAAAAGUUAAGACACAAGUUCUGAGGGCUGAGAAGAGGGAUGCCAGAAACAUCUACAUGUUCAGCAUCAUGGGCAAGACGUUGACCACCAAGGAGAACAAAUGUCUCCUGCGUCAAGAUGGAGCGCAAAGUGCUCGAUCAGUUGGUCUAGUCAGGUAGAAUCACGCUCUUCGUGUUCCAGUACACCUGCUCCCUCUAUUAGUGUUUAUGUUUGCUCUAAUUAUAUAAGGUCAACCGUUGGUGUUUAAGCAAUCAAACUUCCAAAUAUCAUCUCUAUUAAAAACACAUUUCAUUCCUUCGUUUCACUGCUAUUUGUAAUGGUUUAAUUCCUAUUUGUGGACACACUCUAAUUUGACUCUUGACUUUAUUAUCAUUUUUUCCUUUAUGUAACUACUAAAACUUCAUGUGUUUCCUUCGGAAAUUAUAUGUUGUGUUUCUACUCAGUGUGAGGUCAUUUACUGAUUGUUUAGUGAUUCUACCUAAUUGUGAACGAGGGUGAUAUUGACAAAAGCAUCUUCCGUAUGCAAUAGCUUUUGUAUUGCUGAAAAUAGGUGGUGUUAGCUGUGCGACUAUUGACAUGUUCACUGGAUCUAAAAUUGGAAGCCUGUUGUUAUAUGACUAUAUAUGAUUUAGUUGAGUUGACAUGACACCAGAAGAUGACUAUAUGAUUCAGCUUGGCCAACAUGACGCCAUUAGAAUUGCUUCUAAUCUUUUUGUUAGCUUUUUCCAUGGAAAUAGCUAUGUGCUGCUUCAAUGUGUACUUCAGUUGUGCAUUACAGAUUAAAUAAGAAACUUGGGCUUCCAGCACUCUAGAAUUCUAGGUUUGGGUUAUCUUAGGUUGCCGAUGGCUAUACUGAAAAUGUGUAAUUAGAUAUGACACGUACAUAAGAACUCUGCAACAUUCUUGUAUUACAAAUUAGGAUCAAGAGUGAUACCGAAGAAGUGAAGAUGCAAGUCUCUGUUUCCACGAAGAUCACUCCUUUGGACUUGUAUUGUUUCCUUUUAUCGAAGGGGCUUGAUACAAGACACUUGGAGUAUUACUUUUUUACUUUUAACAGUUGGUGUUACCUCAUUCUUUUUUACUAAACCACAUAAGUACUUCCGGUUAAUGUA